rnacentral:rRNA from 1 species
GACAGCAGCCGCGCGGUAAUACGAAGGGUGCAAGCGUUACUCGGAAUUACUGGGCGUAAAGCGUGCGUAGGUGGUGGUUUAAGUCCGUUGUGAAAGCCCUGGGCUCAACCUGGGAAUUGCAGUGGAUACUGGGUCACUAGAGUGUGGUAGAGGAUAGUGGAAUUUCCGGUGUAGCAGUGAAAUGCGUAGAGAUCGGAAGGAACAUCUGUGGCGAAGGCAGCCCCCUGGGCCAAUACUGACGCUCAUGCACGAAAGCGUGGGGAGCAAACAGGAUUAGAUACCCCCGUAGUCCCUGUCUCUUAUACA